AAGUUCGGGAAAAGCGCCCGGGGGCAGACGGACAGUUACCGCCCACCCCCCCACCUGACCACCAAGCUGUCCCAGAUGCUCUAUUUGCUGUGCUCCUGGCCCGAGCUUCCUGUGCUGAGCGCCCUGGAGCUUCUGGACUUUAGUUUUCCUGACUGCUACGUGGGUUCCUUCGCCAUCAAGUCCCUACGGAAGCUGACGUGAGUCCCAGCCGCGUGCUACCCCUGGGGCCCACGGACUCCCUAUUCUUCCGGAACGCAGCUUUACCCCAAGCGCCCGGAAGUGGGUGCUGGGUUGGGACGACCCUGGCCUCUGCUUCCUGCUCUGCUUACCGUAGGAUGACAGACCAUCAGCUUUUCUUCUCUUCAGGGAUGACGAGCUUUUCCAGUACCUUCUGCAGCUGGUACAAGUACUCAAAUAUGAGUCCUACCUGGACUGCGAGUUGACCAAAUUCUUGUUGGGCCGAGCCCUGGCUAACCGC
rnacentral:lncRNA from 1 species